UAUCUCAAAGAGGGGUGUCUUAACAGACUGAGAUUAAACCCUAAGAACCUGUCCGGUAAUUCAGAAAGGGAGAUUAAUGGAUAAAACA
rnacentral:ncRNA from 22 species